GUCCACUAGGCUACCCUGGCUAGGACAUGGCACCUGCCCGGGAAGCAGAAGGUUGUGGGUUCGAUUCCCGCCCUUGGACA